UCCCAGCAGUCCAAGUCGCAGCCACAUUUGUUGGGUCUAAAAUAUCCGUAGCUUGCUUUUCAAGUCUUUUGUGAAAUCGGGACUCUUAAGGUUCCGGCGGGCAAAAGAUACUGUUUAGCUAGAGACCGGUAGGCGUAAGAAGUACAGACGGGGUAGCGGUAAAAUGCGUUGAUCCCAUCUGGACUAACAGUCGCGAAGGCGUCUUACGAGAACGGUUCUGACAGUGAGGGAUGAAGGCUAGGGGCGCAAAGUG
rnacentral:rRNA from 1 species